AUUGAACGCUGGCGGCAGGCUUAACACAUGCAAGUCGAGCGGGGAAGAGUAGCUUGCUACUUAACCUAGCGGCGGACGGGUGAGUAAUGCUUAGGAAUCUGCCUAUUAGUGGGGGACAACAUCUCGAAAGGGAUGCUAAUACCGCAUACGUCCUACGAGGGAAAGCUUGGGACCGAAAGGCCAGGCGCCUUAAGAUGAGCCUACAUCGGAUUAGCUAGUUGGUGGGGUAAAGGCCUACCAAGGCGAUGAUCCGUAGCUGGUCUGAGAGGAUGAUCAGCCACACUGGGACUGAGACACGGCCCAGACUCCUACGGGAGGCAGCAGUGGGGAAUAUUGGACAAUGGGCGGAAGCCUGAUCCAGCCAUGCCGCGUGUGUGAAGAAGGCCUUUUGGUUGUAAAGCACUUUAAGCGAGGAGGAGGCUACCUGGAUUAAUACUCUAGGAUAGUGGACGUUACUCGCAGAAUAAGCACCGGCUAACUCUGUGCCAGCCGCCGCGGUAAUAC
rnacentral:rRNA from 1 species